GAUGAACGCUGACAGAAUGCUUAACACAUGCAAGUCUACUUGAAUUUGGGUUUUUAACUUAGGUUUGGGUGGCGGACGGGUGAGUAACGCGUAAAGAACUUGCCUCACAGCUAGGGACAACAUUUAGAAAUGAAUGCUAAUACCUAAUAUUAUGAUAAUAGGGCAUCCUAUAAUUAUGAAAGCUAUAUGCGCUGUGAGAGAGCUUUGCGUCCCAUUAGCUAGUUGGAGAGGUAACGGCUCACCAAGGCAAUGAUGGGUAGCCGGCCUGAGAGGGUGAUCGGCCACAAGGGGGCUGAGACACGGCCCUUACUCCUACGGGAGGCAGCAGUGGGGAAUAUUGGACAAUGGACCGAGAGUCUGAUCCAGCAAUUCUGUGUGCACGAUGAAGUUUUUCGGAAUGUAAAGUGCUUUCAGUUGGGAAGAAAGAAAUGACGGUACCAACAGAAGAAGUGACGGCUAAAUACGUGCCAGCAGCCGCGGUAAUACGUAUGUCACGAGCGUUAUCCGGAUUUAUUGGGCGUAAAGCGCGUCUAGGUGGUUAUAUAAGUCUGAUGUGAAAAUGCAGGGCUCAACUCUGUAUUGCGUUGGAAACUGUAUAACUAGAGUACUGGAGAGGUAAGCGGAACUACAAGUGUAGAGGUGAAAUUCGUAGAUAUUUGUAGGAAUGCCGAUGGGGAAGCCAGCUUACUGGACAGAUACUGACGCUGAAGCGCGAAAGCGUGGGUAGCAAACAGG
rnacentral:rRNA from 1 species